rnacentral:tRNA from 1 species
GCCCUCGUAGUAUAACGGAUAGAACGCCAGGCUUCGGACCUGGAGGUAGGGGUUCGAAUCCUCUCGGGGGCACCA